GAGUAUUAACCUUGACUUCCCAAUCAAGCCUCUACUAGUUCACCAGACUUUUCUUUCCCAGUUCAUAGUUUUCUCUUGAUCGCUAGUAGGUUCCUCUACACAAACACAAUCAUACUCAAUUUUAUAAAACCUCCACAAACAACAUCCUGUCAACAAUUUUCCUUCAACCGUUGUUCAUCUCUUGGUUUCGUAAAACACUCACGAACUCUCGUCCAGCAAGGAAGGCUGAAGACACCGUACCGUGACAAUUCUGCGCUUCUUCAAAUCAAGUUAGUGUUGGAACUCGUAGGCGACGUGUUCAGUCUCGGUUUUAGGCCGCUAUGAUCACGGAUGCACCAUCGCAAAGCAAUUUCCGGAGACUUCGCAUCGCACCCACUACUCUUCAUUUUACCAACGAAAGGGUGACAUUUUCUUUUGGAGAUUUUCCCAAGGUUCGUGCAGUUAAUUCAAGGAUUCCAUAAACGCAAUUCGUGAGUAGAUUCGACUCUUUCCCCUUUUUUGGCAUUUACUCUUUUUGGGGUGUAUCUCGUGUUUGAUUUCAAAUUUGUUAUUUAAAUUGUUAACGUGCUAUUCGAUGUGUUUCUAUGUGUCACUUGUUGCUAAUUUCUAUUGUUUCUCUAUACGAGCAUCUAUGUGUUACUCGCUUUGUGUCACAGGUUUCGCGUGGAUCCACCUGGCUGACCGAUUCCCCACGGCCAUGGGUUGAACUCGGUAUCGCCAUCAUUGUUUCGCAGUUUCGCAGAUUCGCCUUUCGGGGCUUGAAUCUCUAUGUGUCUAUGGUUACUAAUGUUGUUAUGUUGUGUUGCUUAUGAGAUAUUUGUUGGGUUCUUGUUAUAUUGAGGGACCUAGUUUCACAUUUGAUAAUGCAUGUUAAAAUAAUAUU
rnacentral:lncRNA from 1 species